rnacentral:rRNA from 1 species
CCUACGGGUGGCAGCAGUGGGGAAUAUUGGACAAUGGGCGCAAGCCUGAUCCAGCCAUGCCGCGUGAGUGAUGAAGGCCUUAGGGUUGUAAAGCUCUUUCGACGGGGACGAUGAUGACGGUACCCGUAGAAGAAGCCCCGGCUAACUUCGUGCCAGCAGCCGCGGUAAUACGAAGGGGGCUAGCGUUGUUCGGAAUUACUGGGCGUAAAGCGCACGCAGGCGGCUCGAUCAGUCAGAAGUGAAAGCCCCGGGCUCAACCUGGGAACUGCUUUUGAUACUGUCGGGCUUGAAUCAUGGAGAGGGUAGGGGAAUUCCGAGUGUAGAGGUGAAAUUCGUAGAUAUUCGGAAGAACACCAGUGGCGAAGGCGCCUACCUGGCCAUCGAUUGACGCUCAUGUGCGAAAGCGUGGGGAGCAAACAGGAUUAGAUACCCUUGUAGUCC